GCCGGGCGUGGUGGCUCACACCUGUAAUCCCAGCACUUUGGGAGGCUGAGGUGGGCGGAUCACCUGAGGUCAGGACUUUGAGACCAGCCUGACCAACAUGGUGAAACCCCAUCUCUA
ensembl:misc_RNA Metazoa_SRP Metazoan signal recognition particle RNA